GAUUAUGGCUCAGGAUGAACGCUAGCGACAGGCCUAACACAUGCAAGUCGAGCGGCAGCACCUCGGGUGGCGAGCGGCGCACGGGUGAGUAACGCGUAUGUAACCUGCCCAUGAGUGGGGGGAUAGCCCGGUGAAAACCGGAUUAAUACCGCAUAAUACCAUUAUCAGACAUCUUAGAAUGGUUAAAGAUUCAUUGCUCAUGGAUGGACAUGCGUUGGAUUAGCUGGUUGGCGGGGCAACGGCCCACCAAGGCGACGAUCCAUAGGGGUUCUGAGAGGAAGGUCCCCCACAUUGGUACUGAGACACGGACCAAACUCCUACGGGAGGCAGCAGUGAGGAAUAUUGGUCAAUGGGCGGAAGCCUGAACCAGCCAAGUCGCGUGAAGGAUGAAAGGCAUUAUGUGUUGUAAACUUCUUUAGCUGUGGAGAAAUAAGGUGGUCGAGACCACCGAUGCUAGUACACAGAGAAUAAGGAUCGGCUAACUCCGUGCCAGCCGCUGC
rnacentral:rRNA from 1 species